UACGUAGGGUGCAAGCGUUAUCCGGAGUUACUGGGCGUAAAGCGCGGGCAGGCGGCCCGCACCGUCUGAUGUGAAAUCUCCUCGCUCAACGGGGAGGGCCAUUGGAAACGGUCGGGCUGGAGGGCAGUAGAGGCAGGCGGAAUUCCGGGUGGAGUGGUGAAAUGCGCAGAUAUCAGGAGGAACACCGAUUGCGAAGGCAGCUCGCUGGGACGUUACUGACGCUGAGACGCGAAAGCGUGGGGAGCAAACAGG
rnacentral:rRNA from 1 species